rnacentral:rRNA from 1 species
CGAACCUGCCCUGCAGAUGGGGAUAACUCCGGGAAACCGGGGCUAAUACCGAAUAAUCAGCACUCUCGCAUGAGAGUACUCUGAAAGACGGUUUCGGCUGUCACUGCAGGAUGGGCCCGCGGCGCAUUAGCUAGUUGGUAAGGUAACGGCUUACCAAGGCGACGAUGCGUAGCCGACCUGAGAGGGUGAUCGGCCACACUGGGACUGAGACACGGCCCAG